CCGUUAACGAACGAGACCUUAACCUGCUAAAUAGGCGGGCGAUCUUCACAGAUCGUCACGUUCUUCUUAGAGGGACUACCGGUAUCUAGCCGGAGGAAGUUUGAGGCAAUAACAGGUCUGUGAUGCCCUUAGAUGUCCUGGGCUGCACGCGCGCUACACUGACGGAGGCAUCGAGUUUAGAGCCUACCCCGACAGGGGCGGGUAAUCUUUGAAACUCCGUCGUGCUGGGGAUAGAUCAUUGCAAUUAUUGGUCUUCAACGAGGAAUUCCUAGUAGGCGCAUUUCAUCAGAAUGCGCCGAUUACGUCCCUGCCCUUUGUACACACCGCCCGUCGCUAAUACCGAUUGAAUGGAUA
rnacentral:rRNA from 1 species